UUAGGAAUAUUGCUCAAUGGGAGAAAUCCUGAAGCAGCAACGCCGCGUGGAGGAUGAAGGGUCUAUGACUUGUAAACCCCUGUAAAGAAGGAAAAAAUUCCCAUUUGAUGGGAGAUGAUGGUACUUCUGGAGUAAGCCCCGGCUAACUACGUGCCAGCAGCCGCGGUAAUACGUAGGGGGCAAGCGUUGUCCGGAUUUACUGGGUGUAAAGGGUGCUCAGGCGGAUUUGUAAGUCAGAGGUGAAAUCUUACAGCUUAACUGUGAAACUGCCUUUGAUACUGCAAGCCUAGAGUAUGGAAGAGAGUGAUGGAAUAUCUGUUGUAGCAGUGAAAUGCGUAGAUAUCAGAUAGAACACCAAUGGCGAAGGCAGUCACUUGGUCCAUUACUGACGCUAAAGCACGAAAGCGUGGGUAGCAAACA
rnacentral:rRNA from 1 species